rnacentral:rRNA from 1 species
UACGUAGGGGGGCUAGCGUUGUCCGGAUUUAUUGGGCGUAAAGAGCGUGUAGGCGGCCAGGUAGGUCUGCUGUGAAAACUCGAGGCUCAACCUCGAGAUGUCGGCGGAAACCAUCUGGCUAGAGUCCGGAAGAGGAAAGUGGAAUUCCUGGUGUAGCGGUGAAAUGCGCAGAUAUCAGGAGGAACACCAGUGGCGAAGGCGGCUCUCUGGGACGGUACUGACGCUGAGACGCGAAAGCGUGGGGAGCGAACAGG